rnacentral:rRNA from 1 species
AUUGAACGCUGGCGGCAGGCCUAACACAUGCAAGUCGAACGAGUGGCGGACGGGUGAGUAAUGUCUGGGAAACUGACUGAUGGAGGGGGAUCACUACUGGAAACGGUAGCUAAUACCGACUACAAUAGGAUGUGCCCAGAUGGGAUUAGCUAGGAGGUGGGGUAAAGGCUAACCUAGGCGACGAUCCCUAGCUGGUCUGAGAGGAUGACCAGCCACACUGGAACUGAGACACGGUCCCGACUCCUACGGGAGGCAGCAGUGGGGAAUAUUGCACAAUGGGCGCAAGCCUGAUUCAGCCAUGCCGCGUGUAUGAAGAAGGCCUUCGGGUUGUAAAGUACUUUCAGCGGGGAGGCGUUACCCGCAGAAGAAGCACCGGCUAACUCCGUGCCAGCAGCCGCGGUAAUAC